rnacentral:rRNA from 1 species
UGCAAGUCGAGCGAGAAGCUCAAAAAAGAUACUUCGGUUGAUUUUUUGAGUGGACAGCGGCGAAAGGGAGAGUAACGAGUAGAUACGUACCCGGGGGUUCGGGAUAGCUGCGGGAAACUGCAGGUAAUACCGAAUAAUGUUUCCGAACCAAAGAUUUAUCGCCCUUGGAUCGGUCUGCUUACUAUUAGCUUGUUGGUGGGGUAAAGGCCUACCAAGGCAAAGAUGGUUAGCGGGUGUGAGAGCAUGGCCCGUCUCACUGGGACUGAGACACUGCCCAGACACCUACGGGUGGCUGCAGUCGAGAAUCUUCCGCAAUGGGCGAAAGCCUGACGGAGCGACGCCGCGUGCGGGAUGAAGGCCUUCGGGUUGUAAACCGCUGUCAGAGGGGAGCAAAUUUUGAGCAAUCCUCAGAGGAAGCACAGGCUAAGUUCGUGCCAGCAGCCGCGGUAAUACGAACUGUGCGAACGUUAUUCGGAAUCACUGGGCUUAAAGGGUGCGUAGGCGGGUUUAAAGGUCUGAUGUGAAAGCCCACGGCUCAACCGUGGAAUUGCGUUGGAAACCAUGAACCUUGAGGAAGUCAGAGGUAAGCGGAACUGAUGGUGGGAGCGGUGAAAUGCGUUGAUAUCAUCAGGAACACCGGUGGCGAAAGCGGCUUACUGGGACUCUUCUGACGCUGAGGCACGAAAGCUAGGGGAGCGAACGGGAUUAGAUACCCCGGUAGUCCUAGCUGUAAA